rnacentral:rRNA from 1 species
GAUCAUGGCUCAGAGUGAACGCUGGCGGCAGGCCUAACACAUGCAAGUCGAGCGGCAGCGCGGGGCAACCCUGGCGGCGAGCGGCGGACGGGUGAGGAAUGCAUCGGAAUCCACCACGUUGUGGGGGAUAACCUCGGGAAACCGGGACUAAUACCGCAUACGACCUACGGGUGAAAGUGGGGGACCUUCGGGCCUCACGCGAUGAGAUGAGCCGAUGCCGGAUUAGCUAGUUGGCGGGGUAAAGGCCCACCAAGGCGACGAUCCGUAGCUGGUCUGAGAGGAUGAUCAGCCACACUGGAACUGAGACACGGUCCAGACUCCUACGGGAGGCAGCAGUGGGGAAUAUUGGACAAUGGGCGCAAGCCUGAUCCAGCCAUGCCGCGUGUGUGAAGAAGGCCUUCGGGUUGUAAAGCACUUUUGUUGGGGAAGAAACCGGUCGGAUUAAUACUUCGGCUGAAUGACGGUACCCAAAGAAUAAGCACCGGCUAACUUCGUG